rnacentral:lncRNA from 1 species
AGGGGUCACAGACAUUCAGAUCAUGGCAGAACUGUCACAGAUGUUACUUUGUGAAAACACAAAGAAUAAUGUGUUUGGAGAGAUCAGUCUUCAAUUAGCUAUAUUUUCUAGGAGCCUACCUUUACUUAGCCUCACAACAUGGGCCUUAGCUUUAGCACUUAAUCUGCACAAAUACCUGGCUUAAGUGUUAUGACUGACUGGCUAUUCAACCAAACCAUACAAAUGACCAAUUCGGUAAGAAAGCAUGAACUUCAGUGUUGAACCAAAUCAACCAACCUCCUCAAUCCAAAUGGCUUGCAGAGCUCAAACCAUUACACCAUUCAGAAGCUGGCUUUGGUAUUACUUCAAGUUAUUCAAAACAGUCACCACUUGCUGAGCCUCUGAUGUCUCAUCUGUUGAAUGGAUUUCAAGAGAGAAGGCUGAAAAGGAAGGUGACUGGAAUAUUAAGAACUGUGAGAUAUUCUGAGGAAACUCUAAUUUGUAAAUUGGUAGAAAUGCCAGUAAUUUGUUGGGAAUUGAAGACCCUCUGUAUUCAAGAGCGAAGCUUGGCAGCUGUGCACUGUUGUUUUAUAAAUCAAUAUUACAU